CCGGCGGGUGCUGUAAGACCCCCACAGCCUCAGACCUGGGGCCAGCUGUGGGUGGCCUGGAGGCCGCUGGAGGCCAAUGAGAGGUGGCUGGACAGGUGUCUCUUCCACCUGGUGUCUCCUGGGCUGGGUGGGAGGCAAGACCCUGGCACAGGAUUCAGACCCGGUUCUGUGGGAGCUGCUGGCACAGCACCUGUGUGUCCCCCGUGAUGACACCCACCGAAGGCCCUGACACUGCCGGUUUCAUUGCUUGUGUCCCCAUCCCGACCCGAGAACCACAGCGGACAUGGACCACAGCUGGCUGGCUUGGUUACAGCUGCAGCACCGGCUCACGUGAGAUGCUCAGACAAGAUGAGCAUUAGAUGAAGGAAGGCACAGAGACAGCUGCUCAGGCCUUGGCCCUCAGAUCCCAGGUGACAGUGGUCAUGGGGGAAGACCCGCUUCUGGGACAUGUGGCUACAGUCUGGCAAGAGCAACUUUCUCCCUCCACUGGCUACCACCCCCGGCUGUCUGUCCCCACCCGGGCACCUAUGACUACCCACCCACCCGUCCACUGAUCAUUCACACAAGCUUGAUUUGGGGGCCUGCCCCUAGCCAUGUAGACACCAGGCUCUCAGCACCAAACCAGACACCAGGUCUGCCUU